rnacentral:rRNA from 1 species
UGGGCGUAAGAGCUCGUAGGCGGUUUGUCGCGUCUGCCGUGAAAGUCCGAGGCUCAACCUCGGAUCUGCGGUGGGUACGGGCAGACUAGAGUGAUGUAGGGGAGACUGGAAUUCCUGGUGUAGCGGUGAAAUGCGCAGAUAUCAGGAGGAACACCGAUGGCGAAGGCAGGUCUCUGGGCAUUUACUGACGCUGAGGAGCGAAAGCAUGGGGAGCGAACAGGAUUAGAUACCCUGGUAGUCCAUGCCGUAAACGUUGGGCACUAGGUGUGGGGGACAUUCCACGUUUUCCGCGCCGUAGCUAACGCAUUAAGUGCCCCGCCUGGGGAGUACGGCCGCAAGGCUAAAACUCAAAGGAAUUGACGGGGGCCCGCACAAGCGGCGGAGCAUGCGGAUUAAUUCGAUGCAACGCGAAGAACCUUACCAAGGCUUGACAUGUGCCAGACCGCUUCAGAGAUGGAGUUUCCCUUCGGGGCUGGUUCACAGGUGGUGCAUGGUUGUCGUCAGCUCGUGUCGUGAGAUGUUGGGUUAAGUCCCGCAACGAGCGCAACCCUCGUUCCAUGUUGCCAGCACGUAGUGGUGGGGACUCAUGGGAGACUGCCGGGGUCAACUCGGAGGAAGGUGGGGAUGACGUCAAAUCAUCAUGCCCCUUAUGUCUUGGGGCUUCACGCAUGCUACAAUGGCCGGUACAAUGGGUUGCGA